rnacentral:rRNA from 1 species
UACGGAGGGUGCGAGCGUUAAUCGGAAUUACUGGGCGUAAAGGGCGCGCAGGCGGCUUGGCAAGUCGAGUGUGAAAUCCCUUGGCUUAACUAAGGAAUGGCGCUCGAAACUACCUCGCUAGAGGGCGGGAGAGGGAAGUGGAACUCUCGGUGUAGGGGUGAAAUCUGUAGAUAUCGAGAGGAACACCGGUGGCGAAGGCGGCUUCCUGGCCCGUAUCUGACGCUGAGGCGCGAAAGCGUGGGGGCAACA